rnacentral:rRNA from 1 species
UUAAGCCAUGCGAGUCGAACGAGUUUAGGCUCGUGGCGUACGGCUCAGUAACACGUGGAUAACCUACCCUUAGGACUGGGAUAACCCUGGGAAACUGGGGAUAAUACUAGAUAGGCAAUUUUUCCUGGAAUGGUUUUUUGUUUAAAUGUUUUUUCGCCUAAGGAUGGGUCUGCGGCCGAUUAGGUAGUUGGUUAGGUAACGGCUUACCAAGCCAUUGAUCGGUACGGGUUGUGAGAGCAAGAGCCCGGAGAUGGAACCUGAGACAAGGUUCCAGGCCCUACGGGGUGCAGCAGGCGCGAAACCUCCGCAAUGUGAGAAAUCGCGACGGGGGGAUCCCAAGUGCCAUUCUUAACGGGAUGGCUUUUCAUUAGUGUAAAGAGCUUUUGGAAUAAGGGCUGGGCAAGACCGGUGCCAGCCGCCGCGGUAA